rnacentral:rRNA from 1 species
GACGAACGCUGGCGGCGUGCUUAACACAUACAAGUCGAACGGAAAGGCCCUGCUUUUGUGGGGUGCUCGAGUGGCGAACGGGUGAGUAACACGUGAGUAACCUGCCCUUGACUUUGGGUUAACUUCAUGAAACUGGGGCUAAUACCGGAUAGGAGCUCCUGCUGCAUGGUGGGGGUUGGAAAGUUUCGGCGGUUGGGGAUGGACUCGCGGCUUAUCAGCUUGUUGGUGGGGUAGUGGCUUACCAAGGCUUUGACGGGUAGCCGGCCUGAGAGGGUGACCGGCCACAUUGGGACUGAGAUACGGCCCAGACUCCUACGGGAGGCAGCAGUGGGGAAUAUUGCACAAUGGGCGGAAGCCUGAUGCAGCAACGCCGCGUGCGGGAUGACGGCCUUCGGGUUGUAAACCGCUUUCGCCUGUGACGAAGCGUGAGUGACGGUAAUGGGUAAAGAAGCACCGGCUAACUACGUG